GACGAACGCUGGCGGCGUGCCUAAUACAUGCAAGUAGAACGCUGAAGGAGGAGCUUGCUUCUCUGGAUGAGUUGCGAACGGGUGAGUAACGCGUAGGUAUCCUGCCUGGUAGCGGGGGAUAACUAUUGGAAACGAUAGCUAAUACCGCAUAAUAGCAGUUGUUGCAUGACAACUGUUUGAAAGGUGCAAUUGCACCACUACCAGAUGGACCUGCGUUGUAUUAGCUAGUUGGUGGGGUAACGGCUCACCAAGGCGACGAUACAUAGCCGACCUGAGAGGGGGAUCGGCCACACUGGGACUGAGACACGGCCCAGACUCCUACGGGAGGCAGCAGUAGGGAAUCUUCGGCAAGGGACGGAAGGCUGACCGAGCAACGCCGCGUGAGUGAAGAAGGGUUUCGGAUCGUAAAGCUCUGUUGUAAGAGAAGAACGAGUGUGAGAGUGGAAAGUUCACACUGUGACGGUAUCUUACCAGAAAGGGACGGCUAACUACGUG
rnacentral:rRNA from 1 species